AUUUCGGCAUUACGGUACGGUCUUCGGUAUUAGGAUCUUAAAAUUUCGGUAUACCGAAAUACCGAAUUUUUAAAGUUUUUUUAAGUUGGACCUAUAGCUAUACUGCCCAGCCCAACACUUUUUAAAGACUUUCUAAUCUAAUGCCCAGCCCACUGCCCACUCCAACGCCCCAGCCCAAGCCCACUCUCUAGUAUUUGUCUUUCAUUCAAUUAGGGAUUAGGCAUUACUCAUUAGGGAAUUAGAAUUUAGAAAGUCAAUUAGGGCAAACGGCGUCGGUGUCUCGGCGAUAGUUUCAGCUUCAGGCUUUCAAUUAGGGCGAUAGUUUCAGAAACGGGCAAACGAAGACCGGCUGCUGUGACUUCAAAGAGAUCGGUUGUUGUGACUUCAAAGAAUCAAAUAUUGGCUUAGAGAAGAGAAGAAUCCUAUUAGUGUUGAAGAAGACUUGAAGUAUCUUGAGGAACUAGAGCUUGAUAUGGAAAAUAAUGGAAGCACUACUAGCAUUGUUUGAAGUUUGAACUUUGAUGCAUAGUUGCAACUUGCAACAUGAGUGGUUCAAAUGCAAUCAUGCCUCGUACUCCUAAAGUACGCUCUCAUAUUUGGGAACACUUUGAGGUGAAAGAAGAUAACGGAGAAGUUCGCAAAGUAGAGUGCAAGCAUUGUGGUCGAGUCUAUAAUGUUCAUCCAAAGAGGGAUGGCACAUAUUGUUUAAGCAAGCAUAUUAGGCAUUGUCUUGAGCGUCUUCCUGAAAUCUGUAUUUAAGAAUUAAGACUAAGUUGAUUCGAGACUAUUAGUGUGAACUUGAAUUGAGGGAUGCUCUCUCUGUUUUUGUUAUUUUUGUUGCACUGUGUGUGUUUAAUUCUGCUGCUUGUUAGAGUCUGCUGCUACUGUUAAUUAUGCUACUCGCCUACUGUUACUGUUAAUUCUGCUACUGUUAGUG